UGAGGAAUAUUGGUCAAUGGACGUGAGUCUGAACCAGCCAAGUAGCGUGCAGGAUGACGGCCCUAUGGGUUGUAAACUGCUUUUGUGCGGGGAUAAAGUGCGGGACGCGUCCCAUAUUGCAGGUACCGCAUGAAUAAGGACCGGCUAAUUCCGUGCCAGCAGCCGCGGUAAUACGGAAGGUCCGGGCGUUAUCCGGAUUUAUUGGGUUUAAAGGGAGCGUAGGCGGUCUGUUAAGCGUGUUGUGAAAUGUAACGGCUCAACCGUUGACUUGCAGCGCGAACUGGCAGUCUUGAGUGCGCAGGAAGUAGGCGGAAUUCGUGGUGUAGCGGUGAAAUGCUUAGAUAUCACGAAGAACUCCGAUUGCGAAGGCAGCUUACUGUAGCGUAACUGACGCUGAAGCUCGAAAGUGC
rnacentral:rRNA from 1 species